rnacentral:lncRNA from 10 species
AGCAAAUGCCUUAGUCUAUCUGGAGAAGGUGUCUACUAGUACUAGAAGUAUACGGGAUUGUCAGGCAGAUCUGGCUGUGGAAAGGAGACUAUGGGCAGCAAGUUUAGAGGCAUGACUGAAGUUGCGCUGCGACCUGAGCUGCUGAAUCAGCUUUCUGGUUACUAUGGGCAACGGCCGUAUUUUCUUUUUGAUGUCCUUUGCAGUGGAUCACAGCUACCUGCUGAGAAACUCCUGGAGGGCAGAGCCAUGCCUGCCAUUUUCAUCAUUGCAUUACCACCACCCAGCACAGUGCCUGGUACAAAAGAGUUGCUCAAUAAAUAAAUCAGGAUGAAUGGACAAAUACACGGAUAGGCACUUUGAACUACAGAUGAGCUUAAAUACUUUGUGUUUUUCUUAGUCAAACAUGUGCAAUUAAGCAUGUGAUAAAUUAUAUGAUGACCACACCUGUGUCUUGCCUGAUGUUCUUUGCAAUCACUAAACAAAGUCAAUUUUGCCUGUUUUGACAGUUCUGUUUUCAACCUAAUGAUCCGUUUCUUUUAACUUCUGGCUGUUGGCUUUGUUUGGGUUUGUUAGCCUGACAAAGUGGCAGAUAUUGGUAUUUGCUCUUUUGUUUAAAUGUCACGAACUUUAAAAAUGCCUUUGCUUUUGGUAAGAAACCCUAGUUAGGACAGUCUAGUGGUCAGGAUGAUUUGGGUUCUGAUGCAGUAACAACAACCCCCAAAUCUCAGUGGCUCCAUGCGGUGAGGUAUUUGUUAGUUUUUGAGACAGGGUCUCACUCUGUCACCCAGACUAGAGUGCAGUGGUGCAAUCUCAGCUCACUGCCACCUCUGCCUCCCAGACUCAAGUGAUUCUCUGCCUCCUGAGUGGCUGGGAUUACAGGCCCGUGCCACUACUGUCUGGCUAAUUUUUUUACUUAGUAGAGACAGGAUUUCACCAUGUUAGCCAGGCUGGUCUUGAACUCCUGACCUCAAAUGAUCCACCUGCCUUGGCCUCCCAAAGUGCUGGGAUGACAGGUGUGAGCCACCAUGUCUGGCCACAAUGAGGCUUAUUCUUGGUCAUGUUGCAUGUCUGGGCUGUGUUAGGGCAUUGUGGGGUGGUCUGUUCAUUGUGUUCACUCAGGGAUCCAGGCUGACAAAAGCCCCAUCUCUGCAUGUGUCCUUGAUCACCACUUCAGGGGAAAGGGAAUGUGCUGGAUCACAGAGCCUCUUAACACUUCCACCUGGAGGUGACUCAAGUUGCUCCUGCUCAUGGUUCAUCGGACAAAACGGAUCACAGAGUCAUGGGCAACUUCUCUGUGCCUGGAAGGGGAACCAAAAUAUGAAUAGCUACAUUGAUUUUCCCUAGCUAUUACACAGAAGGCCUCAUUUAAACACAGUUACUUAUUUGUGUUUUGAAGCUAAUUGUAGUCCAUCAACCUUCACAGAAGAUAUGUGCACUUCUAAGCUAUUAUUAAGCACAGUUUUUUUUUUCUUUUGAGACAGAGUCUCACUCUCUUGCCCAGACUGGUGUGCAGUGGCAUGAUCAUGGAUCACUGCAACUUCUGCCUCCUGGGUUCAAGUGAUUUUCAUGCCUCAGCCUCCCAAAGUGCUGGGAUUACAGACACCCACCACUGCACCUGGCUAAGUUUUGUAUUUUUAGUAGAGAUGGGGUUUCACCAUGUUGGCUUGGCUGGUCUGGAACUCCUGACCUCAGGUUAUCCACCUGCCUUGGCCUCCCAAAGUGCUGAGAUGACAGGCGUGAGCCACCGCACCCGGCCUUGAGUAUGAUUUUUGAUUGGGAACGUCAGAGUUACGGUUUUAGUCUGAGGACAGUAUGACGUGAAGGUGAAAAGUAGAGCUUGGCUGUGAGUUUGCUGGGAUUCCUGUGCUACUUCUACAGUUCUUCGGCUGUGUGACCAUCACCUUUG